GCUGAACGCUGGCGGCGUGUCUAAUACAUGCAAGUCGAGCGAAGCGGGGACGGGUGAGUAACACGUGGAUAACCUCCUAUAAGACUGGGAUAACUUCGGGAAACGUGAGCUAAACCGGAUCCUUAUAGAUGGAUCCGCGCUGCAUUAACUAGUUGCUAAGGUAACGGCUUACCAAGGCAACGAUGCAUAUCCUACCUGAGAGUGUGCUCGGCCACACUUGACCUGCGAAACGGUCCAGACUCCUACGGGAGGCAGCAGUAGGUAAUCUUCCGCAGUGGGCGAAAGCCUUACGGAGCAACGCCGCGUGAGUGAUGAAGGUCUUCGGAUCGUAAAACUCUGUUAUUAGGGAAGGGGUACCUACUCAGAAAGCCACGGCUAACUACGUGCCAGCAGCCGCGGUAAUUC
rnacentral:rRNA from 1 species